GAUUAAAAGCAGAACGAAGCCGCAGGGGGCCGCUGCGGGGAGGGUCUUCUUGGGUUCGCCUUGCCCCGCCCCAGUCCCGCCGCUGUGCGGGUUCGAGAGGCUGCUCCGCAGGCCUGGGUGUCCAGGGCAUGAGCGGGGUGUGGGGUGCCGGAGGGCCUCGGUGCCAGGCGGCGCUCGCGGUCCUGGCCUCACUGUGCCGGGCCCGGCCGCCUCCUCUUGGGCUGGACGUGGAGACUUGUCGGAGCUUCGAACUGCAGCCCCCAGAGAGGAGUCCGAGCGCUGCCGACGCAGGUACCUCUGUCAGCCUCCUUGCCUUGGUAGUUAUUGUGUGUGGUGUGGCCCUGGUGGCAGUUUUUCUCUUUCUCUUUUGGAAGCUGUGCUGGAUGCCCUGGAGGAACAAGGAGGCCUCCAGUCCUUCUUCUGCUAACCCUCCUUUGGAGGCCCUCCAGAGUCCCAGCUCCAGAGGCAAUAUGGCGGACAAGCUGAAGGACCCCAGCACCCUGGGCUUCCUGGAGGCUGCCGUGAAGAUUAGCCACACAUCUCCAGAUAUCCCAGCUGAGGUACAGAUGUCCGUCAAGGAGCAUAUCAUGCGUCACACCCGCUUGCAGCGACAGACCACAGAGCCAGCAUCAUCCACCAGGCACACAUCCUUCAAGCGCCACCUGCCACGACAGAUGCAUGUCUCCAGUGUAGACUAUGGCAAUGAGCUGCCACCGGCAGCUGAGCAACCCACCAGCAUCGGCCGCAUCAAGCCUGAGCUAUACAAGCAGAAGUCGGUGGAUGGCGAGGAAGCCAAGUCUGAGGCCACGAAGAGCUGUGGGAAGAUCAACUUUAGCCUACGCUACGACUACGAGAGUGAGACCUUGAUUGUGCGCAUCCUGAAGGCCUUUGAUCUCCCUGCCAAGGACUUUUGUGGAAGCUCUGACCCUUAUGUCAAGAUCUACCUCCUGCCUGACCGCAAAUGCAAGCUGCAGACCCGGGUGCACCGCAAGACCCUGAACCCCACCUUCGAUGAAAACUUCCACUUCCCCGUGCCCUAUGAGGAGCUGGCAGACCGUAAGCUGCAUCUCAGUGUCUUUGACUUCGAUCGCUUUUCCCGCCAUGACAUGAUCGGGGAGGUCAUCCUGGACAACCUCUUUGAGGCCUCUGACCUGUCCCGGGAAACCUCCAUCUGGAAGGACAUCCAGUAUGCCACCAGUGAAAGUGUGGACUUGGGAGAGAUCAUGUUCUCCCUCUGCUACCUGCCCACAGCAGGCAGGCUAACCCUCACGGUGAUCAAAUGUCGCAACCUCAAGGCAAUGGACAUCACAGGCUAUUCAGAUCCCUACGUCAAAGUGUCCCUGCUUUGUGAUGGGCGGAGGCUGAAGAAGAAGAAAACAACCAUAAAGAAGAACACUCUCAAUCCUGUCUACAAUGAGGCCAUCAUCUUUGACAUUCCCCCAGAAAACAUGGAUCAAGUCAGUCUGCUCAUCUCAGUGAUGGAUUACGAUCGAGUGGGUCACAAUGAGAUCAUAGGAGUCUGUCGUGUGGGGAUCAAUGCUGAAGGCCUGGGCAGGGACCACUGGAACGAGAUGCUGGCAUACCCACGGAAGCCCAUCGCACACUGGCACUCCUUGGUGGAAGUAAAGAAAUCCUUCAAAGAGGGAAACCCUCGAUUGUGAUUUCAUUCACGUGGAUGCUGCAAAGCAGAGAGACUACCACCUGGAGUUAGGAUGGCAGGGCCGCGCUGCCAGCUUCGACAGCGAGAGCUCGUGCCCGUCUCCAAAACCACCUCCGACACCAUGAGCUGCGAGGCCGCGCCACACAAACGGGACUCAGCAAUGUUGUUUUCGCACGUGUUCAGCCGUCUAAAUGCAGUGUUGUGCAGUCGCGGUGCGGCAGUGGCCGUCUGCCACUCCAGAGUCUUAACUGCUCCUGUGUAGGUCAAGGCCGAGACACUUGUCCUGUGGUCAGAUCUGUCUUAGUCUUUUCUGUCUCCCAGGUGAUGUUCUUGUGGUUUUUCACUUUGUAUGGGUCUGCUGUCAAGAAAAGAAGAAAACAAAAAAACAAGCAGUAAGGAAAAAAUAAAACAAACAAACAAAAUGGUUGGAGAGCCCAGAAGCCGGUUCUGUAAAAUGCAAUGUAAAAUAGAAUUGGUCUUUGCAGGAGAGGUGGAUUGAAUUUUUAAGAUUUUGUGUCUCCACCAACCUCUGCCACCCUGCAGGAGGCAGUGGCGUGGAGCUAUGGCUACGUUUUCAGUGCCCUGCAGGAACAGUGCAAAUCAAUUCAAGAGUAAGUAUUACUCUUUGAAGUUCUUCGCUGGUGUGACAUAAACCAAGAUGCGAACUCCUGACCCCAUGUUGAAAUCACAGAACCUCCGCGGUGUUUGUGAACUUCUGCUGGUGUGCAGGGGCUUCUCGCUUGCCUUUCUCAUUGGCUUUCCUUCUGAACUGAAAAUGUCUUGAUUCCUCAUGGGAACUUAGUCACUUUCUUUAGGAAUGAUUCUGCUCAAACUAACCAGGCCAUAUGUUUUCUGAUGCAUCACGGUUAAUGAUCACAUUUGUUUGAAAACAGGAUCUUUGUUCUCAAAAAUAGCCUUGGUUGUAAAGAAAGACAGGCACAUAUGUUCUAGAAUGAUUUCUGCAUUAUACAUAGCUUUGUAGUUUCAUGAAGUGUCAAGCAACUGUUUUAGAUGCCUAAAGAGAUCAAAAGAAAACCUAGAUAGAAUAUUCUUUUCUGGAUGGGAAGUUUCGAAAUCCAAGUCACAGCUCGAAUCCCUCUUUCUGGGAAGAGUAGCUUCUUGGUUGAAAUUCAGUCAACCUAAUCCUACUUCAGCCCCAAGGACUCUGGGACAGUACUCAUCUUGAAUUUAGUUCCAUAAAUCACUAGGAAUUCAGUGUUUGUUUUGUGAUAGUGAGGGGUUUUGUUUUUGUUUUUCCCUUUAGAUCUCUACCUUAGGCUGAAUUCAGUAUAGUGGAAAAAAAGUUUGAACUAUUUUGUAAUUGUAAUAACACAUUCCUAUUGUGUUGAUAGUGGCCUUUACACCAACCCCUAUAACUAGGCUGAUUUGCUCAAUCUCUGUUUGGUCCUGGGAAGCACAUGGAGGAGGGUUUCCACUUCAUGUUUUGACUACCUACACAAUGCCAACUUCCAGAGCUGCAAGUAUAACCCACAAGAAGCAAGUCAGUGAACAAACCCCAUCUUUCAACAAUGGAAGGUUAAGAACUCACACACCUUGUAUCUUAUUCUUACAUAUGUCACAUGCCACAAGAGGAACACCUUAAAAGUAACCAUCAUUUUAAGCCACGUUAUGUUUCUCUGCCAAUAUAACUUUAGGUAGUAUCUGCUAGCCCUAAAAGUGACCAGAUUGGCUAACAGGAUAUCAUGGUGAAAGAAGUUUACAACCUAGAAAAGUAAAUGUAGAUGAAUCUAAACUCCACUCUGUAUUGAGCCUCAGGCCAAGGACUAAUGUGCAAAGAUAACUUUUCUCCCCCAAAUUCUUGUGAUUGAUUGGUCUUCCUAGUCAGGUAGUCCUGCAGUUGGAGUGAGAAAAAACUCAAGAUCGUGACAAGACUCCAAGCAGGUGACAAACUUCUUAUGUUUCUUGCCUCUAGUCUGACCCCAUCUCAAUCAUUGAGCAGAUGCAGGAAGUCUUGCUCUAUGAAGGAGACAAUUGAGUUUCCUGGGUCAUAAGGAGCCCAGAAAUUAGUGUGAGAGGGUCCUCUCAGAAGUGAGCUCAAAAUGCAUGUCCAGCUGUCAUCUAUAAAACCUUAGGCAGGGGAUGAUGGCCCAUUCAAACCUUCUGCUCAACGGGAAUUGUGGGAUCAUAUUGUUCAUCUGAGAGAUUUAUAUCAAGCAGCUUUCUCAUACAAGUGAACAUUCCAAUAGUUUCAGAUCAUUUCCUGGAAAGAUUAUGACCAGCCCCACAACACCCCAACCAACUGCUACCACUAUGGCUCCAGCAGUCUAGGUAAAUUCCUACAGGCAUCAGAACCCACCCUAGGAAGGCUUUAGCUUCUGGACACCCCACCCACCCCCGCCCACACACACACCCCAGUGCCAUUAGGAGAAGCCAGUCUUCGACCUGAAGCACGAAUGAGACCUAAACAGCAGCCAGCUCAUCAUCUAGCCCACCAUCCCUCCCUUGCAGAUGACAGUAAAUUGAAAUCCAAGUUUCAGAAUUCGCUGACAUUCAAAGUUGAUUCAUUUGUCCUCUGCUUUCUCUGGCAUGGGAAUCCUCUUGGGUGGUAGUUGUGGGCUUUGUUGAAGUUGUGAUAACCAGGGCCAUUUGCACACAGAUGUUUAUUUAAAAAACACAGAGUACCCUUCUCCUUUAUUCUGCAGUGUUUCUGGGCUGUCCCUUCCCCCUCUGCGCUUACCCGGGAUGUUAAUUAAUUGUAUCAUCAUUUAAAAAAUUAUGUUGUUAAUUACUGCUUUGUGUCUUCCCACCCCUGUCACAGCCUGGAGUUUUUAUUCAAUUAAAUCUCUGUCU